AUAGGAUGACGCCGGAUCACGCGAGGGUUUCUUAACCAGCAUGCUUGUCAUGUGGUAGUCGCGCCGGGUAUCCUUUCUUUU
rnacentral:sRNA from 12 species